ensembl:lncRNA
GGCGCAGGCCGGGAGCGGGGAGCGGGGUGCGGCGAGCUGUGAGCUGUGCUCCCGCCGGAGCGCGCCGGCAGCGGGCAGCUCUUACCCACGCCUCGGGAACGUCCACUCGGCCUCUCCUUGGUCGCUCCUCUCGUCCUCCCCGAGUUCUGCUCGGAGUUUCCGCCCCAUGGGGCGAAGUGGGAGUAACGCAAAGGUUAAGCGGCGGGGAAAGUACCUCGCCGUGUGCGGGUCAGGAAAGCCCCGCCGGGCCUAGGUGCGAGCGGCCCGCCCGGCCCAGGCACCUCGCGGCCAUUCGCCCCAUCAGCAGCGACAUCGCGUUCCUCUCGGGGCUUCGCUGCCGGGACUGAGGGCGGUGAGCUGCACCUCUGUGCCUCCGUCACUCCUAGGGGCUGUGGCUGCUUCACAGGCCCUGAGUGCAGAGCCAGCCAUGGCUAUCACUGUGGUCUCGCUUCAUGAAGAGAUGUAAGAGCGUGUGCAAUGCCAAAGUAGUAUCCGGGGGGGGCAGCAUCCAGGGUACAAUCUUAAUAAAUCAUUCACAUGCAGCCGUGCAGUUUUACAGUCCUUACAAAUGAAAGGCCAUCACAGUGUUUUGAGGCCCAGUGCUAAGCCUCACAGCACCGAGAUAGAGGCAGUUUAUCAUUGGCGUGUCAGAGGUCAGAAAGUGAAGGUGCACUGGGCUUCUUCGAGAUCUCUGAGGAAGAGAUGGCAAAGGAGCAGCCCUAUGGUCCCACUCCUGGUGUUUUUAAACACUGUAUCAUUCUUCUGCCUCAUUUUGGAGAAAUCCUUAAUUUUAGACAUUAACCUGGCAUGUCAUUGUUCAAGUUGCCCUGGCCCUGCUGGGGUUAUGGUAUCUGAGAAAAAAAAGCCACGCACAAGGAUGGUGACAUAACUUCGAAAGUGGUAGCACUCCUUAUCUGAAAGCUCUGUGAUUUCUGAGAUCACAGUUAAACAGUAUUUGGUGAUGGGCAACUUGUCCCACGAGGUGCUAUUCUUUGAAAUGAGGUACAUUUGUGACAGGCAAACUAAACUCAAUUUACUCCUAUUCAUCGCUGUGCUGUCUAAAUCCCAUCUCAUCGUGUUGAAAAUUCAUGCUAAUUCAAAUGCAUCUGGAAAGGAACCAAUACAAGACAGAGAAAUUCAAGGAAGUGUCUUAAAAAUCCAAGCAGAAGCAAAAGUUGCAGAAAGAAAAUUUAGGGAUUUUUGCUUGCAGAUGCUAAAUAGUUUUGACAGGAGGAAGAAUACACCUAAUACUCCACGUGGAUAUAUUCUGUAUGAACUUCUUUGUCAGACCAGAAUUAGAAUUACUAGCAAGUGGUUCUAUCAUCCACAGCAGGAGUUAUCUUGUGAACUUCUAGGCAUAAGUCAUUCAUACUGAUAGGAGAUUGAGUCCUUACUGCUUCUCAUGAGAAUAAUCCUUUUCAAAAAGGAUGAUUUCAAUAUAAAGUAUGAGAAUAAAGUGACCAAAAUGAACACACACUCUAAGUGAAAUACUGAGAACAUAACAGAAAGAGCAAGUCAGUAUUGACUGAGAACUAUUCAGCCUGAAUACUGAAGAUCACCAGAACCAGCCGUGAAAAAGGAGCCAGGUGUUGAAAGAGCCAGUAGCUGAGGCCUACACCAGCAGAGGCCACUGAAACUGCUCUAAGUAUUCUACAGGCUUGUGUAAAAUGUGUCUUUCCCUCUUUGCCUUCAUUCUUCCCAUGGAGGAAGCCAGAAACUUAAAAAAUGUGUAUUCUGGAACAAUGGUGUCUUUAAACACACUGCUGUUUAAGUAGUGUUUCUAAUGCAACAAUACAAGCUACAUCUCAGAGUGCAUUAUGCAGUAGAUUUGGAUAGUAAUUCAAGUUUUAUGAACGGAGAAAUGGGAUCAUCUGGUGUCACGUGAGAGGCUUGGAACAAGGAGCUUACUAAGGCCACUGGAACUGGAUGCAGGUGUCAGUCUGCUGUGCUAUCCACAGGGCCAUGAAUGCUGGAAGUCAUGUGGUUGAAGAACCUCCACCAUUGGAUACAGUUAAAAUUCAGCUGACCGGCUUCCUGAACAACUUCAUCUACUUGGUUCUACUUUGAGCAGAGGGUGGGGGCUUUUUCCAAACUAAGAUCUUUUAUGAAUUUUUAUAGUGAAAAAUGUGUCAUUCAUUGUUCUUACAUUGCCCAUACGCCCAAGUUCUUAAAGUGUUGUUAUAAUAAUGCUUUCAUUAAGGUACUUCGCUUUCAAAAAAAAAAAAAAAAGAGUCUAUCACAACAUUGGCCAACAUCCUCUCUUUUCAGGAACUGAUUUUGGAAAUGUUUCAUAUCUACGAUGAAUAUUCAUUAUAGCCGGUCAGAAAACCCAAAGCAUUUCUCACAAAAACCAUGUUCCUUUUUUGGCUGAAUAAUUCCAACCAUCUUUCAUGUGCCAUUUCAUGGGGGAGAAUCCAAACCAAGACUGCAAAGGGAAGAUCAGUGGUGUUUUACAACUUAUAAUAUCAUUUAUUGUUUUUUAAAAUGGAAAAUGCAUUUUGGUAUACUUAAAUUGAUGGCAAUUUCCUCUAACUUGUCUGUUUUUUCACAUUCCUCUGAGACCUCACUUUCAAUUAUUGUUUUUUUUUCAGUUAUUAAUUUGAAAUCUUGCUGGAGAGCAGUACUGGUUUUGAAUUUUUACUUGAUACCACUUAAUGUGCAAAUUCUAGGGUUUUUUUUGCUGUUUAUCUAAAUAAUCGCAUGCUUGUCUGUUAGAUACAAUUGCAUUUGCUAUCAUUUGGAUAUGUUUUGCUUUACAUGAUAUUUAAAUCUAAGCUGCAUCUGUUUCAUAUAAAGAAAUCAGUGUAUUUUUUCGAAUCUUUCAUAAGCCACCAGUUUAAAAUGAUGGAGGGAUUCAAAUUCAAUUGCUGAUACCAAGAAACAGACUGCCAAAGGCCUCUUUUCUGGACCACAAGCAAUGUGUCUGUGCUUUUAUUAUAUUCAGUACAAUUCUAUAUGCACUUCCAACUGCCCUGUACAAUGCACAGUCACAUUUUUAAGAGAGUGUACAUCUUAUUACUUUGGCAAAGCUGUGAUUCCUGUCCAUAUAAGAAGUAAAAUACUGUGCAGUAUCGUGUUUUUCAGUCUACUUUUUGCUAAUAUCUACAUUAUUUGCCUGUCCACGCUACUGAACUUCCUGAUGCAUGUGUGACAAGGCAAAACAAGGUUUGUUGUAAAGAAGAACAGAGGUCUAAAAAGACCUGUGCUCUAAUAUUUAUAGUGCAUCCUGAACUUUCCAUUGAUUUUACAUGGAUAGUUCAUGUGGGCUUAUGAAUCUUGGUUGGGUUUGCGUCUUCAGUGACUUCAGUAUGCUUGCAUGAGAUGAUCUAGCAACAUUCAAAGCAUUACCUUUUUAAAUUUACCUCCUUGACAAUAACAUUUUGGGCAACAUUGUACAUUGAGAGGUGGGAUAACACCUUCAAUUUUCCAAACAUCCCAUCCUAAUUUUAUUUGUGAAUAGUGUAUGUAACUUUAGUUCUUAAUCGCUGUUUGCAUGCCUGGGUUUAACUGUAAGAUGAAACUUUUUCUGGUCUGUAUGUGCAAGCAGUAUUCCCUCCCUUCCGCUUUUCUAUACACAAUUACUUGCAAAACCACAGUUACAUUUUUCUUCCUUUCUUAUAUACCCA